GGUUUGUGUGUGGCUGCGGACGAGGAGCGGAGCGGAGCGGGAACGACGUAUUUCACCAUAGGAUUUACCAGAGGAUUUGUCGCCGGAGAGCCGCGUCUUUGUAAGGAUAUAACCACAUAUUGAGGGAUCUCGACGGUGAGCCGCCACCUACCAAGCUAUGCUGGUGGCUUUUUUUAAGGGAAAAACGUCGAGAAUAUGCCGAAGGAUUAUUACUUUUCAUGACGGCUAGUUAGCUGUCAGCUCGAGACAUGGCGGCUUGAAGCGGAAGUAGUGAAGGAGCGCCGGUGUCCCGGAUCGCAAACUGCUGAUCGGACAGCUGACUGGUGAGGUCAUGGAGAUGCCACCCAGCAGAUGACAUUAGCACUGUCUGCAAGGCGCAGCUCGCUGGGCCAGUGAUGGGCAGACCGGGCCCUGGAUGUCCACGUGGGACCUUCCCUUCCAGGAAGGAGGCGGGACCUCGGGGACCUGUCGGAAAAUGGACGCGUGCUCCUGUUUCCGCAUACUUUGACAGCGAAAAAGCUCUGCGUCGGUCCACCGUCGCCUAAUUAGGGUCUUGGCUGUGGGAGAUGAAGGGGAUGAAAUGGAAAAUAAGGAGCGAGCAAACAGUGCUGCACAUUAACAUUCUCAUAUGCACUCCAGCUCCCUCACAUGGGGAACCCUGAUGCUUGUCUUCAGGAGGAGCUCCUCCAAGGCCAUGUUCUGCACCAUGUGUGAAACCUGUUAAAUGCAUACAGGAAAGACAGGCAGGCUCACAGACCGCAACCCUUUUUGCUUUUGCUGUAGACAGAGCAGGGAAGAGGAAAACCACCACGCUCACGUGGGGCAGAAUGCAGACUGUCAGGGUCCAAUUCCUGGCACAAUGGCAUCUGCUGCCCAUCCUCGAUGGGGAUGAAGUCAAAGUGGAUGGUAAUGGACUCUAGUCGCUGUCCAGUGCGCUUCCUUUUGUUAGAAGCGCCCUUCUCAAACUGGGCCCUGCAGCAAAAACAUUUUCCACUGGGUCUUCAAGCAGUCACAAGUGUUGUGAUGCCCUCUAGUGGUCAGUAGGAAAAACUACAGGUCACUGGUGACACUAGUUCCUGCUAUUGGCAAAUCUUUG